rnacentral:misc_RNA from 1 species
UUUCCGUAGGUGAACCUGCGGAAGGAUCAUUAAUUACGAAAGCAAUAGCCCCUUCGGGGGUUAUCGCAUCCACCCUUUGUCUACGUGUACCUCUGUUGUUUCCUCGGCGGGCUUGCCCGCCGCUAGGAACCCCUUAAACUCUUGUAUUUACAGUAUUAAAAUCUCUGAUAACUAUUUAAAUUAUUACAACUUUCAACAAUGGAUCUCUUGGUUCUGGCAUCGAUGAAGAACGCAGC